rnacentral:rRNA from 1 species
GAUGAACGCUGGCGGCGUGCCUAAUACAUGCGAGUCGAGCGAACAGACGAGGAGCUUGCUCCUCUGACGUUAGCGGCGGACGGGUGAGUAACACGUGGAUAACCUACCUAUAAGACUGGGAUAACUUCGGGAAACCGGAGCUAAUACCGGAUAAUAUAUUGAACCGCAUGGUUCAAUAGUGAAAGACGGUUUUGCUGUCACUUAUAGAUGGAUCCGCGCCGCAUUAGCUAGUUGGUAAGGUAACGGCUUACCAAGGCAACGAUGCGUAGCCGACCUGAGAGGGUGAUCGGCCACACUGGAACUGAGACACGGUCCAGACUCCUACGGGAGGCAGCAGUAGGGAAUCUUUCGCAAUGGGCGAAAGCCUGACGGAGCAACGCCGCGUGAGUGAUGAAGGUCUUCGGAUCGUAAAACUCUGUUAUUAGGGAAGAACAAAUGUGUAAGUAACUAUGCACGUCUUGACGGUACCUAAUCAGAAAGCCACGGCUAACUACGUG